GAUGAACGCUGGCGGCGUGCCUAAUACAUGCAAGUCGAGCGAAUGGAUUAAGAGCUUGCUCUUAUGAAGUUAGCGGCGGACGGGUGAGUAACACGUGGGUAACCUGCCCAUAAGACUGGGAUAACUCCGGGAAACCGGGGCUAAUACCGGAUAACAUUUUGAACCGCACGGUUCGAAAUUGAAAGGCGGCUUCGGCUGUCACUUAUGGAUGGACCCGCGUCGCAUUAGCUAGUUGGUGAGGUAACGGCUCACCAAGGCAACGAUGCGUAGCCGACCUGAGAGGGUGAUCGGCCACACGGGGACUGGGACACGGCCCAGACUCCUACGGGAGGCAGCAGUAGGGAAUCUUCCGAAAUGGACGAAAGUCUGACGGAGCAACGCCGCGUGAGUGAUGAAGGCUUUCGGGUCGUAAAACUCUGUUGUUAGGGAAGAACAAGUGCUAGUUGAAUAAGCUGGCACCUUGACGGUACCUAACCAGAAAGCCACGGCUAACUACGUGCCAGCAGCCGCGGUAA
rnacentral:rRNA from 1 species